rnacentral:rRNA from 1 species
AGUGAACGCUGGCGGUAGGCCUAACACAUGCAAGUCGAACGGCAGCACAGGAGAGCUUGCUCUCUGGGUGGCGAGUGGCGGACGGGUGAGGAAUACAUCGGAAUCUACCUUUUCGUGGGGGAUAACGUAGGGAAACUUACGCUAAUACCGCAUACGACCUACGGGUGAAAGUGGGGGACCGCAAGGCCUCACGCGAUUAGAUGAGCCGAUGUCCGAUUAGCUAGUUGGCGGGGUAAUGGCCCACCAAGGCGACGAUCGGUAGCUGGUCUGAGAGGAUGAUCAGCCAAACUGGAACUGAGACACGGGCCAGACUCCUACGGGAGGCAGCAGUGGGGAAUAUUGGACAAUGGGCGCAAGCCUGAUCCAGCCAUACCGCGUGGGUGAAGAAGGCCUUCGGGUUGUAAAGCCCUUUUGUUGGGAAAGAAAUCCUAUCGGUUAAUAACCGGUGGGGAUGACGGUACCCAAAGAAUAAGCACCGGCUAACUUCGUGCCAGCAGCCGCCGUAACAC